UUCCCUCCUGCCUUGAAGUAGGUGACUCCGGGUGCCUGAAAGCUCGGUGGCGUGGGUAACUCAUCACUACAGCUCAUAACCCCUCGAGGAAGGGACCCUUGUGGUGCCAAGCAGGAGGGCAUGGCCACAGCUGGGGCACCUAAAGUGUCUGGAGAGGUCUGGCAAUGCAGGGCCCUUCUGCUGGAAGGAGCCUUGUUCAGAGAGCUGGGGCUGGUUUGGGGAAGGGGUGUUUCCAGCACAGCUUCCUGCACUGCCAGCACAGGCGCUGUGCACAGGACGGGCACCACGAGCGGAUGCCUUUCCCAGCCCAUCCCCUCUGCACACUUUCACCCAUUUCUCAUGAGAAUUGUUUUAUUUUUUACAUAAUAAAUCUCUGCUUUUGUUUGCUCUCUGUAGCAGUGUAACUUCUGAACCAUUACAGGCUCUUUGUUACCAUCUGUGCUAGCAAGACUGUAGAAUGUGCUAGACUAGGGGGGAAUGUUUGACGAAUAAAAAACCUGUAAUCC
rnacentral:lncRNA from 7 species